UACGGAGGUGGCAAACGUUGUUCGGAUUCAUUGGGUGUAAAGGGUAUGUAGGUGGCCUUGCAAGUCGGAUGUGAAAUCCUUUGGCUUAACCAAAGAACUGCAUUCGAAACUGCUUGGCUUGAGUUUGGGAGAGGAGAAUGGAAUUCCCGGUGUAAGAGUGAAAUCUGUAGAUAUCGGGAGGAACACCAGUAGCGAAAGCGAUUCUCUGGCCUAAAACUGACGCUGAAAUACGAAAGCUAGGGGAGCAAACAGG
rnacentral:rRNA from 1 species